UACGUAGGCAGCGAGCGUUGUUCGGAAUUACUGGGCGUAAAGAGUGUGUAGGCGGUGCUCUAAGUUCGGUGUGAAAUCUCCUGCUUAACUGGGAGGGUGCGCCGGAAACUGGAGUGCUUGAGCGUGGGAGAGGAAAGCGGAAUUCCUGGUGUAGCGGUGAAAUGCGUAGAUAUCAGGAGGAACACCUGUGGUGUAGACGGCUUUCUGGACCAUUGCUGACGCUGAGACACGAAAGCGUGGGUAGCAAACAGG
rnacentral:rRNA from 1 species